AUGGCUGGAACGGAGUGGUGCUGGCCGCUGCCGGCGUGGAUGGGCUCCGGCGCGGCGUGGUUCGUGGCCCUCAACCUCGUCGUGGGCGCCAUCUUCGCCCUGUCGUCGCGUGCGCAGCCGCAGUCGCCGUCGCCGCGCCGCGGCGGCAGCGGGAUCACGCGCAGGGCCUCGUCGGCGGUGCUGCAGCGCAUCCGCUCCUUCAGCAUCUUCUCCUUCCCGUCCUCGUCCUUCCACACGGCGGAGCCCAGCCCGGGCGGCGGCGCCGUCGCCGCCGCCACCACCUUCCGAGAAACAGAGGACGCGGGGACGCCGAGGAGGUCGCCAGCUACACCGCGUCCACCGCGCCCACACGCGACGGCAGAGCCGGCGAAAGAGGACGUCGUGGAAGACGAGAGCUCGAUGAGCAUGGACGAGGCGUACGCGCUCGCCCUGGCGGGGCGGCAGCGGGCGCCGCCGACGGAGGAGGAGGCGGCCGGGUCCGAGGUGGACGCCAAGGCGGAGGAGUUCAUCCAGGGGUUCAAGGAGGACCUCAGGCAGCAGCGCCUCAAGUCCAUCUUCAACUACACCCAGAUGCUCAAGCGCCGCGUCGCCGGCGGCCAGCCGCCUGCCGCUCCACAAUGA
rnacentral:rRNA from 1 species